GUUGGGCCCCAAAGGGAGAUGGAUUGUUAGGUCCCAUAUCGGUUGUAUAGGGAAACGAAACAUUCCUUAUAAGGGUGUAAAAACCUCUUCUCCUAGCAGACACGUUUUAAAACUAUGAGGC